AGCGAACGCUGGCGGCAGGCUUAACACAUGCAAGUCGAGCGGGCACUUUCGGGUGUCCGCGGCGGACGGGUGCGUAACGCGUGGGAACGUGCCCUCUGGUUCGGAAUAACUCAGGGAAACUUGAGCUAAUACCGGAUACGCCCUUUUGGGGAAAGGCUUGCUGCCGGAGGAUCGGCCCGCGUCUGAUUAGCUAGUUGGUGAGGUAACGGCUCACCAAGGCGACGAUCAGCAGCUGGUCUGAGAGGAUGAUCAGCCACACUGGGACUGAGACACGGCCCAGACUCCUACGGGAGGCAGCAGUGGGGAAUAUUGGACAAUGGGCGCAAGCCUGAUCCAGCCAUGCCGCGUGAGUGAUGAAGGCCUUAGGGUUGUAAAGCUCUUUUAUCCGGGACGAUAAUGACGGUACCGGAGGAAUAAGCCCCGGCUAACUUCGUG
rnacentral:rRNA from 1 species